rnacentral:rRNA from 1 species
GAUGAACGCUGGCGGCGUGCCUAAUACAUGCAAGUCGAGCGAACAGAUGAGGAGCUUGCUCCUCUGACGUUAGCGGCGGACGGGUGAGUAACACGUGGAUAACCUACCUAUAAGACUGGGAUAACUUCGGGAAACCGGAGCUAAUACCGGAUAAUAUAUUGAACCGCAUGGUUCAAUAGUGAAAGACGGUUUUGCUGUCACUUAUAGAUGGAUCCGCGCCGCAUUAGCUAGUUGGUAAGGUAACGGCUUACCAAGGCAACGAUGCGUAGCCGACCUGAGAGGGUGAUCGGCCACACUGGAUCUGAGACACGGUCCAGACUCCUACGGGAGGCAGCAGUAUGGAAUCUUCCGCAAUGGGCGAAAGCCUGACGGGGCAACGCCGCGUGAGUGAUGAAGGUCUUCGGAUCGUAAAACUCUGUUAUUAGGGAAGAACAAAUGUGUAAGUAACUAUGCACGUCUUGACGGUACCUAAUCAGAAAGCCACGGCUAACUACGUG